ensembl:lncRNA
UAAAGAAUGACGCUGACUCUGAGCCACAGGCUGAAGAGUGGGGAGUAAACUAGGGGAAAGAGCAGCAACAAUCGUGUUGGAGAUCUGGGGAGACUGAAGGAGUGGAGUGGUGGGCUGUUUUACGGGGAAGUCAAAGUUAAGGCUGGCCAGCUGAUGGUAACUGCAUGGAGGGCAAUGUUGAGAUGCAAGAAAGACUUUGAUGUGAGCCUACAAUACACCUGGAAGGAUCCCACACCUAGAUGGGUAACAUCAGUCAACGCUCUUCCACCGGUUGCUGGGAUAUUGGGUCAGCCAGCCCUGGUUCCCUUCAGAUCACGUGAGCAUGGAACAGUCUGACCCACCUGGGAACAUGAAGCACCACUGAGAACUUACUGCUCUGCUGAAGGAAAUCAGUACAAACACAGGGAUUUUUCCAGAAAAGUCCAGUAUGAACUGAUAGGAUUCCCACUCUUCUCAGAGGGAAGCUGCAUAAUCCUGGCCCUUGGUUUGGUUGCAAAAAUAACAUCCAGUAAUGAAAUGAAAACAAGCUGAAUGGCUGCAUUGAGCGGAGGAGGGCAGAGGUAGUCUCAGACAGCUGGAGCAUGUCUGGGCCAGUGUCUCACUGCUUUUCUCCCUGCUAGUUCAGUGCCACUGCAGGAAUACAGACAAUGCUGGCUACGGCUGCUUCAUAUUUGAUUUCCACACUUAAAUUCUGCUUGUUAAGUAAAACCCCAUUGUCAGGCUGGCAGGCAGCCACGCUCCCUCCCCAGCCUUGCCUCCUAGCUUCUCUGGUUGGGUGCUCAGAGCCAUCUAGCAAAGACCAGGUCUCGCUGUUCUGGUGCUGCUUGUAGCAUCACAACAAAACCUUUGGGCCCUCAUCAAUCUGUGUCUGAGGGCGGGCAGAAGCCCUGCAGGAAAGGAACGGGGUUUGAAAUGGCCUCAGCUGGGUGCUGGGUGAGCUGUAGGCUGUGCUGGGAGAGCUGGUGGCUGGGCACAGCUCUGGGAUUACUGCUGGAUAGCCUGUGAGGAGUGGAGCUCCUGGGCUCCAUGGGACCAUUAGGUCAGGGUGGAGCAUCCCGCAGUUGUAGGAUUUGCUGGCAGGGUCCGUGGGUGGUGACAGCGCAGGGCAGGCAGAGAAGCCCUGCAGAUUGGAAGCAGAGCAGUGGCUGUGCUCGUAACAAAGGAUCGCUUCAUACCCUCUGGGAAAUACCAGGCAGGGCAUGAAAAUUAUGAAUAAUAUUAAUAAAGCUGGGAGGAUUACUAAAUCCAACAGCUGUCCAGCCCUUCGUGCAAGCACUUCUGGCCCUCCCACCUCCUCACGAGCUGGUGCUGUGGCCCAAUGUGUGCCAUUGCCUGGGCACUGCUCAGUCAGCACCAAUGACAUCCAGGCAGGCAGUGCUGUGCCCCCAGAGGAUGGCUGCAGUGUCGUGGUGGGGAGCAGCAGUGUUCUGACAGCAGAUCCUUCAACUGCCCCAGAGGAGCCCACCUCUGGACUGUAGUCAUGGAAACUGCUACGUGAGUGGAUUCAGGACUGGCUCCAAACAAAGUUAAAGGGGGGAAAAAAGCCCCAGGGGACUUCUGCAAGUGAGAAAGGUGAUGUUUUCCUCAGCAGAAUAAGGUUUGGGGAUGUCUGGAGCAGCAGCGAGGCCUCCAGCUGCUGGGAAUGGAGGGAUGGAUGCUGUGCUUCCUGCCAGCAGCUGGGCUGGUUCUGCUCUGGGCUGCCCUAACUCCUGUCUAGCCAUCUCCUCCUCUCCUGUCACAUUGUCAGUGUGCUGCUGUCAGGCCUGACCAUUGAGCUGUGAUGGGCUCUCACACCUCUUCUGCUCGGGGAGUGGAGCUGUGUCUGUGUGGUCUUUAACUC